CAGCCGCCACGGUAAUACGAAGGGUGCAAGCGUUACUCGGAAUCACUGGGCGUAAAGCGUGCGUAGGUGGUGGUUUAAGUCCGUUGUGAAAGCCCUGGGCUCAACCUGGGAAUUGCAGUGGAUACUGGAUCACUAGAGUGUGGUAGAGGAUAGUGGAAUUUCCGGUGUAGCAGUGAAAUGCGUAGAGACCGGAAGGAACAUCUGUGGCGAAGGCGACUAUCUGGGCCAACACUGACACUGAGGCACGAAAGCGUGGGGAGCAAACAGGAUUAGAUACCCGGGUAGUCCCUGUCUCUUAUAC
rnacentral:rRNA from 1 species